rnacentral:rRNA from 1 species
UACGUAGGGGGCAAGCGUUGUCCGGAAUUAUUGGGCGUAAAGAGCUCGUAGGCGGUUUGUCGCGUCUGCUGUGAAAACCCGAGGCUCAACCUCGGGCCUGCAGUGGGUACGGGCAGACUAGAGUGCGGUAGGGGAGAUUGGAAUUCCUGGUGUAGCGGUGGAAUGCGCAGAUAUCAGGAGGAACACCAAUGGCGAAGGCCAGAUCUCUGGGCCGUAACUGACGCUGAGGAGCGAAAGCAUGGGGAGCGAACAGG